CACUCCUUGGCUUCAAGCUUUGCCUUGGGGAAACUCCAAAGUCCUCCUGCCACAAGUACCCUGCCCUGCAGCACAUUGCACAUACCUACUUCUGCCCAGGGCUGGCUCUCUUCUUGCCCUGAGGGGAUGCCUGAGGAUGAAUUCUCUGCUGUGGCCUCUGGAAUUGCUUUCUGCAGGAACUGGGACCCCAACUGCUCACUGGGACAGCUGGUUGAGGCUUCAGUCACCACUGUAACACAGAGCACAGAAACUGUCUGCUUUAGGCGACAACACCGGAUCUACUUAGUGUCCUUCUCACAGCCAAGAAGGAGGAGAGUUCAUGGAGAGGAAUUCAGGGCGGAAAACAAAGACGUCUCCUCUGGGCCAUAUUCAAAGACCUGAUCUGACUUGAACUGCUGAGUCCGUAGGGAGGAUUUCAACACUGCUCCGAGCACUCGGACAUUGGAGCUGUGCAGGGAGGAAGAGGGAGAGAAAUUCAAGCCCUCCCCCAUUUCCUUUGUGAACCAUUGGAAACUGCUUUCAGACUGCAGAUUCCAACCAGAUUUGUGUCAUGACUUCAGCCAGGGCAUUCUUCACCCACGUGGGACAAUGUCAGGAGCCUCAGUGACAUCGAGACCCUUCAGAGCAGCACUAAUGCCCAGUGGAGUUCUCCAGCCUAAAUGUCUCGUUGUCAGUGGAAGAAACAAAGAUUGGAGCCUGCAGCCCAGGAUGGGACGUGAGGACCCUUCUUCUCCUUAUCCCUGCUCCUGCUCAGCCAGUCCCAGGUUUGGAUGUGGUGGAAAGGCCUUGAAUGUCACCACAACACAGGGAGCAGCUUUGCUGGAGGACAAGGUGAUGCUACCACACGACAUCAGUGAGAAGUCACAACCAAGCAGAGUGAUGUAUAUGUAUGUCUUCAUCUGAAUUCCUCUCCCCCUCUCCUUGUGCUGGUAAAUAAGUUACACGUAUUUUCAGAGGAACUUAUUUCCUGUCACUGCACUCUUAAAUGUCAAGCUCCUGGAGAGGAGUCUUCAAGCAACUUUAAGGUCAGUCAGGCUUCAAGGAAGAAAAAUGCAGGUAGGGAAGAGCAAGAGCAGUCCAGCCUAAACCCUGGCUGUGAUCCAGCCUAAGCCCUGGCUGUGGUCUAAAUGAUGGGUGAGCAGGAGCAUCCCAUAUGGAAGUGGCACCUGGGGGCACUGCUCUGCCUCUACCUCAGUUAUGGAAAAACUAAAGACUUUGACAAAAAAAAAAAGGUGGAUGAAAAUUCCGUGUUGCGUUAGCUGAGGAGCACUGAUGAAUAAUGCAUCCACCCAAAGGUCAGUUUACAAAUGAUUAAUUAACCUUAAGAGAGGUUCUCCUCAUUGGCGACAUCCGCUGUCCUAAACAGCUUCAUCAUGUCUGCAGGGGGUAUUUAAAGCACAGUUAUUUGGGAAAAGUAUUGAGGAAUCAUGGAGAAAGCACCGUGAGAGACCACAAUGGGUCCCAAGGCUUUGCUGGGCCUCUGUGGUGUGAGACAGGCUCGGGCAUCGCUCGACCUGGGAGCAGAAGGGUUUGAAUGUUGUGCUCACAGCUGACAGAUCUGAGGGCUGGGAAUCACCAACAGGGAGUUCAACAAGGGGAAGUGCUGGAUUCUGCCCUGGGAUGGAUGGACAGACUGGGAAUGAGAGGCUGGAAAGCAGUGCCGGGAAAGGGCCCUGGGGGUCCUGGGGGUCCUGGUGGUGCCAGUUGUCCCUGAGUCAGCAGUGCCCUGGCAGCCAGGAGGGACAUCCCUGUCCUGGGGCACCAGGGAGGGGAUUGUCCCGCUCUGCUCUGCCCUGGGGCGGCCUCACCUCAAUAUUGGGGCAGUUUGGGGGGACACA
rnacentral:lncRNA from 1 species